AUUGAACGCUGGCGGCAUGCCUUACACAUGCAAGUCGAACGGUAACGCGGGGCAACCUGGCGACGAGUGGCGAACGGGUGAGUAAUGCAUCGGAACGUGCCCAGUAGUGGGGGAUAGCCCGGCGAAAGCCGGAUUAAUACCGCAUACGACCUACGGGUGAAAGCGGGGGACCGUAAGGCCUCGCGCUAUUGGAGCGGCCGAUGUCAGAUUAGGUUGUUGGUGGGGUAAAGGCCUACCAAGCCGACGAUCUGUAGCUGGUCUGAGAGGACGACCAGCCACACUGGGACUGAGACACGGCCCAGACUCCUACGGGAGGCAGCAGUGGGGAAUUUUGGACAAUGGGGGCAACCCUGAUCCAGCCAUGCCGCGUGCGGGAAGAAGGCCUUCGGGUUGUAAACCGCUUUUGUCAGGGAAGAAACGCUCUGGGUUAAUACCUCGGGGUAAUGACGGUACCUGAAGAAUAAGCACCGGCUAACUACGUGCCAGCCGCCGCAGUAAAAC
rnacentral:rRNA from 1 species